rnacentral:rRNA from 1 species
CACGUAGGCGGCUUACCAAGCGUCCUGUGAAAUCCCUCGGCUCAACCGAGGAAUGGCUGGGCGAACUGGUAGGCUUGAGGUAGGUAGGGGCGCAUGGAACUCUUGGUGGAGCGGUGGAAUGCGUAGAUAUCAAGAGGAACGCCGGUGGCGAAGGCGAUGCGCUGGGCCUAUCCUGACGCUGAGGUGCGAAAGCCAGGGGAGCGAACAGGAUUAGAUACCCUGGUAGUCC